UGCUGUCAAUCAUUCCGAUGGACUCUGGGUGACUCGGUCCCCGCACUAUUACGUCACCAUCUUCGGCAUCAUCUUUCGGCGGUUGGAAAACCAAUCCGUUCCUUGGAUUCAUUCGAUCUUUGGUCGUAAUCACAGCUCACACAGGUGGGUGGGGACCAGGUGUGGAUCUGCACACAGAGCUCAGAUGAUUUUUACCUUCCACUCAGCAUUGUUAAGAUUCUUUGUUUUGUGCGUAUGAGGAAGACUGAAGGCGGACGCACCAGGAGGUUGUCAGAAGAAGAGUUUGAUGGGAAUGGUAUAGAGCCAGAAUUUAGCGGUAGGGUCUGAUCAAUGUGAUGGUUGCCAGAUGCUGAUCGAAAGUAAGUGGAGUGAGGUGAAGAGUUAAUGAUUGCGAAGUAGCUGAGAGGAGAGCUUUGGUGCAGUAGCAUAAUAGAGUUGCUUGGGGGUUGAAUUGCUGUCCUGGAGUUGCAAAGACACCAACACUAAACGCCACUCUAGAUUCAAGUUUCUCCAACUAAGAGCGACACAGAGUCGACGUCAGGUCACUGAAGAAAAAUUGUCGUAGUGAAUUGUGCGAUCUAGUGUGAUGUGAGGGUGUGGGCAAAGGAUGCUUUUAGAAUAGUGGGAGGAGUGGAGGAGAGGUGAAAGGCGGAAAAAAGGCGGAAGCUGUAGUCGUGAAGGCUAGACUAAGAAGAGGGUGGAGGGAAAAUCCUUCAAAGUGGCGGAAACGGGGUUGGAAUCCCUGGAGGAAACUCUGAGGGAGAUGUUCAGGAGCUUGUCUAUGCGAGUAGGAUCGCAGGAUUUUGAAAAAUUGCCGCCGAUGGUAAAAGCUUUGAUUAGAGAGGCUUGGCGGACGUGGCGAUGGGCGGGAGAAAAUGCUUGGAUGCUUUCGAGCAUGAUGGCUAUGGCGCAACUGAGCGAAGAUGUGGGCUUGUACAGCAGCGACUCUGGCAUCGACUUCAACAAGUCGCCGUCCUGGUCGCAGGAACCAGAUGAUCUAUGUGGUAAGAUUCGAGGAGGUAACCAGGGGACUCUCGUGUUUCGUGGUCGCGGCAUGGAUAACAUCAGCAGUUUGUUGUCGUGGUUUAUGAUCUUCGUUGUAGGCGUGACAACGGGGCUGUUUUGGAGGGCAACCCAGAAAUUAGAAAAAUCGGCUGUGACGUCCUCAUCGAAGGAUAUUGUCGAGUUGGAGCCAAACAUGCCACCUUCCUCUUCGUCUACGACGCUUACAAGCAACAGCCCCCGGUUUCUUCGAUCAUCGACCGUGGGUGCAGUGAGAGCAUACACCUUGAAGGAGAUGGAGGAGAUGACUAUGAAUUUUAGCAAAGAGAUCGGGAGAGGGGGACAAGGGGUGGUCUACUUUGCGAAGUCGCUCGCCGACGAACUCAUUCAACGCCCACUGGCGGUGAAACGGUUGCAAAAUGGAAGCAAUGUGCUGCUCCAUAAUGUCGAGAAUCGCAGUCAGGAAGUGGUAGAGAAGGAGUUCUGGGCGGAACUCAGCACAAUCUCGCGGCUGCACCAUCGCAACCUUGUAGCACUACUUGGUUAUUGCAUUGAGGGAGACGAUUUGUUUCUGGUAUAUGAGUACAUGGGGGCAGGCUCCUUGGAUCAGUAUCUGCAUAUAAAAUCCAAGCUCGAACCUGGAAAUGGAGGGAUGGUGUUGAGUUGGAAAGCUCGCAUGCAGUGCGCAGCUGAGGUUGCACAGGGGUUAGAGUAUCUCCAUAGCCAUGCGAGCCCGUCGCUCGUGCACAGGGAUGUUAAGUCAGGAAAUAUUCUGUUCGACGAGGAAAUGCAUGCGAAACUUGCAGACUUUGGGCUCAGCAAGCCGUUGCCCUCGGACCAUCCGGUGACAGUGUCCACUCGUGUACGCGGCACCCAUGGCUAUGUCGAUCCUGUAUACCUCCAUAAUGGCACGCCAUGCGACAAGAACGACGUGUACAGCUAUGGUGUAGUUUUGUUGGAGCUCAUCACUGGCCGUCGCGCCAUUCAUCAGGGGAUUUCGCUUGUGAAUUGGUGCAAGGACUCCUUCUUCCAGCCAGACCCGGUCAUAAUGCGGCAUAACGUCCGCAACAUGGUUGACAUGUGCAUAUUCCGCAACGAGUACUCUGAAGAGCAGCUGCAUGAAGUGGUGAAAGUUGCCCAAGCGUGCGUCCAAGACCGGCAAGAGGAUCGGCCCAGCAUGAAAGACGUGGUCGUAUGGCUACACAAUGCCAACGGCAAGGAAGUCUCCAGCUCCGAAUGCAGCAGUCUGGAUACGACGUUGGAUAUGACAUCUUUGAUGAGCAAUGGCUCCGGUUUGAGUUCCCUUACUUCCAUUUCACAUCGUCAACUACUGCUGCGACCACUUCCUCCACCACAGCUACCGACAGUGCCAUCGCUACCGAUUCAGACUAGCAACUGGUUAUCUUCAUAUGACAUCAUAGAUAACACGAUUCUUGUAAGGUGCACCGUCAGAAACAACCAGAAGAUUGCUUUGAGGUGCAAAAUCUGGCCGACUCCAAAAAACUUCGGGUUGAAUAAGAUUGAAGCAACCCUAAAUGGCGCUUUCUUGUGGAAGAAGGGCCUGUGGUGGUACAAUGCAAAGAGCAGCCGUGAAUUCACUGUAGACGAUGAUAUGAAGUUGAUUGCGGAGUGGCACGUAACCCUGCGAACUCCUCCCAUUAUCAGUAGACACCCUCUUCCUUCGCAUGAUCCUCGAAGACACCAAGGUCCAUUCUGUGUAGAGUACCUCGCACUGAAGGACGAGUUCGGGCGUGUUUUGAUCGAAUACGAGGGUGACAGGUCUCCUCUUCCAGAAAGCUUGGCAACAAAACGGAAGAUUCCCUCCAAAACUGGACAGUAUUGGAGAGAUUCAGAUCGUGAUCGUGAUCGUGAUCAUCCUUGGACGACCAAUACGGAUCUUACUCAAAGCGGUGCGUUAGUGUGCUGUGCCACACCUUGGGCCACUUAGCGAAUAGGGAGAGCUUAGCGGAGCAUGAACCGGUGGAGCACACACCCAGAGGGAGAGAUCGACUGAACAACUCACCAACAAUUAUACCGUCAGGAUGAGAUAGGAAAACCAUCAACUCGUCAACGAUUAUUCCAUCAGUAUAAGUUCGCGAUCGGGAUUAGGAUCGAGAUUGAGAUCGAGAUUGCAGUCGGGGUUGGGGUCGUGCCGACCCAGACAGAGAACCCUCAACUCAGGGCAGUGAUUAGCUACACCACUCUAGAUAGGAGAACUUAUUCCUGUUUUCAGUGUCAUUCAUGGUGUGAGUUCAUUUGUAAAAGUUGUAUUAUUACUCUGCAGGACGUUACGAGUCCUAUACAGGUCAUUUUCGAUACUUUGACAUUACUGAGAAAGCUGAGCGGUCGGUUAGCGUUAAAAAAGCAACGAGGAUGUACAUAUGAGAGGCCUCAGCAAAGUGGAGGUAGACGGUUAGAACGGAAGAACUUCACAAGUUUUCAUGGACAGUUUGACAACUCUACUGUCGUGAGUCAUCGUUUCAAUACUAACAGACCGACGCGAGUUAAUUAGGAUCUACAUUCUAUGUUGCUCUUUUUAUCGAUGCCAACAUUGGAAGGUAUGCACGCACAUGUUGGGCAUUGGAAAUACUCUCUUCUUUUACUGAGAGGUGUAACUAAAUUUGACGGAGAACUUACGUUUGCCGCCAAUUCUGUUCUUUAAAAAAAGCUAAACAAGUUUCUGCCAAA